rnacentral:ncRNA from 1 species
GUCUGGGGUGCUUUAAUCGGCUGAGAGAUACCCAUGGAACCUGAUGCAGUUAAUACUGUCGAAGGAAGACCG